ACAGGGUGACAGGUGGUGCAUGGUUGUCGUCAGCUCGUGUCGUGAGAUGUUGGGUUAAGUCCCGCAACGAGCGCAACCUCGACCUUAGUUGCCAGCAUUCAGUUGGGCACUCUAAGGUGACUGCCGGCUAAAAGUCGGAGGAAGGUGGGGAUGACGUCAAAUCAUCAUCGCCCCUUAUGACCUGGGCUACACACGUGCUACAAUGGGCGGUACAAAGGGUCGCGAACCCGCGAGGGGGAGCCAAUCCCAAAAAGCCGCUCUCAGUUCGGAUUGCAGGCUGCAACUCGCCUGCAUGAAGCCGGAAUCGCUAGUAAUCGCGGAUCAGCAUGCCGCGGUGAAUACGUUCCCGGGCCUU
rnacentral:rRNA from 1 species